ensembl:rRNA 5S_rRNA 5S ribosomal RNA
GCUUGCGGCCAUACCGCCCUGAAUACGCCCGAUCUCGUCCGAUCUCGGAAGCCUAGCAGGGUCGGGCCUGGUUAGUACUUGGAUGGGAGAGCGCCUGGGAAUACCAGGUGCUGUAAGCU